rnacentral:rRNA from 1 species
CCUACGGGUGGCAGCAGUGAGGAAUAUUGGUCAAUGGGCGGAAGCCUGAACCAGCCAAGUCGCGUGAGGGAUUAAGGCCCUGCGGGUCGUAAACCUCUUUUGCCGGGGAGCAGAGGUCCGGACGUGUCCGGGCCGGGAGAGUACCCGGAGAAAAAGCAUCGGCUAACUCCGUGCCAGCAGCCGCGGUAAUACGGAGGAUGCGAGCGUUAUCCGGAUUUAUUGGGUUUAAAGGGUGCGUCGGCGGGCAUUUAAGCCGGCGGUGAAAGUCUGUGGCUCAACCAUAGAAUUGCCGUUGAGACUGGGGGGCUUGAGUAUGUUUGAGGCAGGCGGAAUGCGUGGUGUAGCGGUGAAAUGCUUAGAUAUCACGCAGAACCCCGAUUGCGAAGGCAGCCUGCCAAGCCAUGACUGACGCUGAUGCACGAAAGCGUGGGGAUCAAACAGGAUUAGAUACCCUUGUAGUC